GGGUUGUGAGGUUAAGCGACUAAGCGUACACGGUGGAUGCCCUGGCAGUCAGAGGCGAUGAAGGGCGUACUAAUCUGCGAUAAGCGCCGGUAAGGUGAUAUGAACCGUUAUAACCGGCGAUACCCGAAUGGGGAAACCCAGUGUGAUUCGUCACACUAUCAUUAACUGAAUCCAUAGGUUAAUGAGGCGAACCGGGGGAACUGAAACAUCUAAGUACCCCGAGGAAAAGAAAUCAACCGAGAUUCCCCCAGUAGCGGCGAGCGAACGGGGAGGAGCCCAGAGCCUGAAUCAGCAUGUGUGUUAGUGGAAGCGUCUGGAAAGGCGCGCGAUACAGGGUGACAGCCCCGUACACAAAAGCGCAUGUGCUGUGAGCUCGAUGAGUAGGGCGGGACACGUGGUAUCCUGUCUGAAUAUGGGGGGACCAUCCUCCAAGGCUAAAUACUCCUGACUGACCGAUAGUGAACCAGUACCGUGAGGGAAAGGCGAAAAGAACCCCGGCGAGGGGAGUGAAAAAGAACCUGAAACCGUGUACGUACAAGCAGUGGGAGCACAGGUUUACCUGUGUGACUGCGUACCUUUUGUAUAAUGGGUCAGCGACUUAUAUUCUGUAGCAAGGUUAACCGAAUAGGGGAGCCGGAGGGAAACCGAGUCUUAAUUGGGCGUUAAGUUGCAGGGUAUAGACCCGAAACCCGGUGAUCUAGCCAUGGGCAGGUUGAAGGUUGGGUAACACUAACUGGAGGACCGAACCGACUAAUGUUGAAAAAUUAGCGGAUGACCUGUGGCUGGGGGUGAAAGGCCAAUCAAACCGGGAGAUAGCUGGUUCUCCCCGAAAGCUAUUUAGGUAGCGCCUCGUGAAUUCAUCUCCGGGGGUAGAGCACUGUUUCGGCUAGGGGGCCAUCCCGGCUUACCAACCCGAUGCAAACUGCGAAUACCGGAGAAUGUUAUCACGGGAGACACACGGCGGGUGCUAACGUCCGUCGUGAAGAGGGAAACAACCCAGACCGCCAGCUAAGGUCCCAAAGUCAUGGUUAAGUGGGAAACGAUGUGGGAAGGCCCAGACAGCCAGGAUGUUGGCUUAGAAGCAGCCAUCAUUUAAAGAAAGCGUAAUAGCUCACUGGUCGAGUCGGCCUGCGCGGAAGAUGUAACGGGGCUAAACCAUGCACCGAAGCUGCGGCAGCGACACUGUGUGUUGUUGGGUAGGGGAGCGUUCUGUAAGCCUGCGAAGGUGGCCUGUGAGGGUUGCUGGAGGUAUCAGAAGUGCGAAUGCUGACAUAAGUAACGAUAAAGCGGGUGAAAAGCCCGCUCGCCGGAAGACCAAGGGUUCCUGUCCAACGUUAAUCGGGGCAGGGUGAGUCGACCCCUAAGGCGAGGCCGAAAGGCGUAGUCGAUGGGAAACGGGUUAAUAUUCCCGUACUUGGUGUUACUGCGAAGGGGGGACGGAGAAGGCUAUGUUGGCCGGGCGACGGUUGUCCCGGUUUAAGCGUGUAGGUGUGUGUUCCAGGUAAAUCCGGUUCACUUUAACACUGAGGCGUGACGACGAGGCACUACGGUGCUGAAGCAACAAAUGCCCUGCUUCCAGGAAAAGCCUCUAAGCAUCAGGUAACAUCAAAUCGUACCCCAAACCGACACAGGUGGUCAGGUAGAGAAUACCAAGGCGCUUGAGAGAACUCGGGUGAAGGAACUAGGCAAAAUGGUGCCGUAACUUCGGGAGAAGGCACGCUGACACGUAGGUGAAGUGAUUUACUCAUGGAGCUGAAGUCAGUCGAAGAUACCAGCUGGCUGCAACUGUUUAUUAAAAACACAGCACUGUGCAAACACGAAAGUGGACGUAUACGGUGUGACGCCUGCCCGGUGCCGGAAGGUUAAUUGAUGGGGUCAGCGCAAGCGAAGCUCCUGAUCGAAGCCCCGGUAAACGGCGGCCGUAACUAUAACGGUCCUAAGGUAGCGAAAUUCCUUGUCGGGUAAGUUCCGACCUGCACGAAUGGCGUAAUGAUGGCCAGGCUGUCUCCACCCGAGACUCAGUGAAAUUGAACUCGCUGUGAAGAUGCAGUGUACCCGCGGCAAGACGGAAAGACCCCGUGAACCUUUACUAUAGCUUGACACUGAACAUUGAGCCUUGAUGUGUAGGAUAGGUGGGAGGCUUUGAAGUGUGGACGCCAGUCUGCAUGGAGCCGACCUUGAAAUACCACCCUUUAAUGUUUGAUGUUCUAACGUGGACCCGUUACCCGGGUUGCGGACAGUGUCUGGUGGGUAGUUUGACUGGGGCGGUCUCCUCCUAAAGAGUAACGGAGGAGCACGAAGGUUGGCUAAUCCUGGUCGGACAUCAGGAGGUUAGUGCAAUGGCAUAAGCCAGCUUGACUGCGAGCGUGACGGCGCGAGCAGGUGCGAAAGCAGGUCAUAGUGAUCCGGUGGUUCUGAAUGGAAGGGCCAUCGCUCAACGGAUAAAAGGUACUCCGGGGAUAACAGGCUGAUACCGCCCAAGAGUUCAUAUCGACGGCGGUGUUUGGCACCUCGAUGUCGGCUCAUCACAUCUGGGGCUGAAGUAGGUCCCAAGGGUAUGGCUGUUCGCCAUUUAAAGUGGUACGCGAGCUGGGUUUAGAACGUCGUGAGACAGUUCGGUCCCUAUCUGCCGUGGGCGCUGGAGAACUGAGGGGGGCUGCUCCUAGUACGAGAGGACCGGAGUGGACGCAUCACUGGUGUUCGGGUUGUCAUGCCAAUGGCACUGCCCGGUAGCUAAAUGCGGAAGAGAUAAGUGCUGAAAGCAUCUAAGCACGAAACUUGCCCCGAGAUGAGUUCUCCCUGAGACUUAAAGUCUCCUGAAGGAACGUUGAAGACGACGACGUUGAUAGGCCGGGUGUGUAAGCGCAGCGAUGCGUUGAGCUAACCGGUACUAAUGAACCGUGAGGCUUAACCUUACAACGCCGAAG
rnacentral:rRNA from 21 species